GAGUUUGAUCCUGGCUCAGAACGAACGCUGGCGGCAGGCUUAACACAUGCAAGUCGAACGCAUCCUUCGGGGUGAGUGGCAGACGGGUGAGUAACGCGUGGGAACGUGCCCUUCAGUUCGGAAUAACCCAGGGAAACUUGGGCUAAUACCGGAUACGUGCGAGAGCAGAAAGAUUUAUCGCUGAAGGAUCGGCCCGCGUCUGAUUAGCUAGUUGGUGGGGUAAUGGCCCACCAAGGCGACGAUCAGUAGCUGGUCUGAGAGGAUGAUCAGCCACAUUGGGACUGAGACACGGCCCAAACUCCUACGGGAAGCAGCAGUGGGGAAUAUUGGACAAUGGGCGCAAGCCUGAUCCAGCCAUGCCGCGUGAGUGAUGAAGGCCUUAGGGUUGUAAAGCUCUUUCAGCGGGGACGAUAAUGACGGUACCCGCAGAAGAAGCCCCGGCUAACUUCGUGCCAGCAGCCGCGGUAAUACGAAGGGGGCUAGCGUUGUUCGGAAUCACUGGGCGUAAAGGGCGCGUAGGCGGCUUUGUAAGUCGGGGGUGAAAGCCUGUGGCUCAACCACAGAAUUGCCUUCGAUACUGCAUGGCUUGAGACCGGAAGAGGUAAGUGGAACUGCGAGUGUAGAGGUGAAAUUCGUAGAUAUUCGCAAGAACACCAGUGGCGAAGGCGGCUUACUGGUCCGGUUCUGACGCUGAGGCGCGA
rnacentral:rRNA from 1 species